rnacentral:tRNA from 1 species
GGAAGCGUGGCAGAGUGGUUGAUUGCGCUGGCUUGCUAAGCCAGAGGUCACCAAAUGGUGUCCCGCGAGUUCGAAUCUCGCCGCUUCCUCCA